UCGUCCCCCUAAGGUCAGACCCUGAUCAGCACCAUCGCAGGAUCCAUGGACUUGGCCUUGAGGCUUGUUGCAGGUGUGUCCUGACCUCCCAUUUCCCCACCUUGUGGUAUUCAUGAGGGCCAAGUGCCCCUGCAUGCCCCGGUGGUGGUGGUGUGAGUGGGCUAAAAAUCAAACACACCUUCCCCUACCCCGGGGUGGCUGUCCGUGCUGCGUGUGGCUGUAUAUGGUGUCCCACGGCUACCUACGCCAGACACCCCUGGAGCGCUGGCCUUGUGACUGUGUCCAGCGGGCAACCUCUCCCCAGGCAGGCCUCUGCGCAGAUCGGGGCAGUGCAAACUUGGCUGCACAGAAAGCACGACCUAGGGAAUUCCCUAACAGCCUCCAUUCAGAAGUGCAACCCGCUGAAUUGAGGCAUAUUACUAAGCAGAUGAAAUGAAACUAACCAGGAUUCCCUCAGUAACGGCGAGUGAAGAGGGAAGAGCCUAGUGCUGAAUCCCCAUCCGGCGACGGGCACGGGAAAUGUGGCGUACAGAAGAUCAACUCCCUGGCAUUGCUCAGGGGGCCCAAGUCAUUCUGAUAAAGACUCACCCCUUGGAUGGAAUUAGGCCGGUAGCAGCCCUCAGUGUGCCAGGAUCGGGUCUUCUUGAAGUCGGAGUGCUUGGGAAUGCAAACCAAAGCAGGUGGAAAACUCCAUUUAAGGCUAAAUAUGGGUGCAAGACUGAUUGCCAACAAGUACAAUUAGGGAAAGUUGUUAAGAGAUAGUUCAAGACGGCAUGAAACAAUUGAGAUAUAAACAGGUGAGAUCCAUUCUGUCCAGCCAGAGGAUUCAACAUGGCAGGCAGAUCUGUCAUUAGGAACAGUGGAUCCCUUGGGGGACCCCUCAGGGCACAUUCCUCCAUGGCAGUUCACCACAAACAGUCCAUGUCGGCUGGGAAGGCCCCAGGGGCAGGUGGCUCUCCACUUCGGCAGAGAGUGUUGCAGCCCCCUGGCAGCAGUUUUGCCAUUUCCACAGACCCAACAAGAUGAACUGCUGCUGCGCUCUCCUGCAGAAACCAUCCCGGCCCUCUCGGUGGUUGAUGGACAGAGACGGGGACGGGCCCACUACUCCAGGCGCCACUGUCGACAGGGGUGGACUGGCCAAAGUGCACCACGACGACAUUGCACCGCUGGCUGAGGAGUCCCACAAAUGCACCAGGAGUCUUCGGUGAUGCCGGUAACCCACCCAACCCAUCUUGAAACACGGAACGAGGAGUUUAACACGUGCGUGAGUCUUAGGGCUGUACAAUACCCAGUGGUGCAAUGAAGGUGAGGGGAUACGCGUGCCAGCCGAGGUGGGUUUCUGUCGCGCCUUCACAGCGGCCACACCACUGGUCUGUCUCACCUGCUCUGUGAGGGAGAUGGUGCAUGAGCAUGUGUGAUGGGACCCGAAAGAUGGUGAAGUAUUCCUGGGCAGGGCGAAGUCAUAGGUAACUCUGAUGGAGGUCCGUAUCGGUCCUGACGUGCCAAUCAGGUAUAAGGGCAAAAGACUAAUCAAUCCAUCUAGUAGCUGGUUCCUAUUGAAGUCCCCCUAAGGAUAUAUGGCACUCUGAAACCCCAGUUUUAUCAGGUAAAGCAAGUGAUUAGAGGUCUUGGGGCCAACACAAUCUCAACCGAUUCUCAAAUUUUAAAUGGGUGUUAAGCACGACUCACUGGCAUGGAGCCAAGCAUCAAAUGCGAUUGCCCAGUGGACCACUUUUGGUAAGCAGAACUAGCACUGCACAAUGAACCUAAUGCCGAGUUUAAGGCGGCCAUUGAUGAUGCUCCUCAGACCCCAGAAAAGGUGUUGGUUGAUAUAUACAGCAGGACGCUGGCCAUGGAAGUGACAACUCACCUGCCGAAUCAACGGGCCCUGAUGAUAGAUUGUGCUGGAGCGUCGGGCCAAUACCUGGCUAUCGCUGGCCCUGAUAUCCACGGGAGCUAAGCAGUGAUGAGUAGGAGGGCUGCCUACAGUGCACACAGAAGUUUGGGGCGAGGGCCUGGGUGGAGUCACCCCAGGUGGUAGUAGCAAAUAUUGAAACGAGAAAUUUGAAGGCCAUAGUGGAGAAGGGUUCCAUGUGAACUGCAGUUGAACAUGGGUCAGUUGGUCUUAAGAGAUGGGUGAAUAUUGUUCAGAAGAGACUGGCGAUGGCGCCCGUUGCCCUCAGCCUGUCGAAAGGGAGUAGAGUUGGGGUCACCAAACACAGAGCGACGUAGAUGGGUACCCUUAGGGAAUCCAGUUCUGUAACACAAACAAUCCUGGAGAAGCUGACGAAAGCCCCGGGACAGUUCUCAUUUCUUUGCGAAGGCAGGGAACCCUGGAAUGGGUUUUGCCCAAGAGAGGGGCCCGAGCCAUGAAAUGUAUUGCUGUUCCACUGGCAUCCAGUGAUCUCUUGCUGGUCCCUGAAAACCUGGAGGGGUGAUGGUGUAAAUCUCUCGCUGGGCCAUACUCAUACCCACAGCAGGUCUCCAAGGCCAGCCUCUGGCAUGUUGGAACAAUUUAGGUAAGGGAUAACGGCAAGUCAGAUCCGUAACUUCAGCAUGAGGAUUGACUCUAAGGGCUGCGUCGGUCAGGCUGUGCCACGAAGCAGAGCUGGCCGUGUGGCAUGGCUGGAUGAGGCAUCACCCCCCAGGGAUGGCGCGGACUCUACAUGCAAGCCGGGCCCUUCCUGUGGAUGGCCCCAGCUGUGAUGGUGGCCUCUCUCCAUUCCCCUCCCGGUGCUCGGAAGCCGGCAUUCUGCCUUGGCCAACGCCUAUCAGCUGACUUAGAACCAGUGCAGGCCAGUCGAAUCCGACAAUUUAAUUUCAACAAUGCAUCGCGAAGGCCUGUCUCGCGUGUUGAUGAAGAACACAGCCAGCUGUGAGAAUUAGUGUGAAUAGAAGGACACAUUGAUCAUCGAUACUUCAAAUGCACCUUGCAGCCUUGGGUUCACUUGAACGCCAGUCGCCCCAUGGACUCCCCCCGGUGUGCAGCUGCGGCCAUCAGAGGGACCCCAUUGCCUUCGUCCCCCUAAGGUCAGACCCUGAUCAGCACCAUCGCAGGAUCCACGGACUUGGCCUUGAGGCUUGUUGCAGGUGUGUCCUGACCUCCCAUUUCCCCACCUUGUGGUAUUCAUGAGGGCCAAGUGCCCCUGCAUGCCCCGGUGGUGGUGGUGUGAGUGGGCUAAAAAUCAAACACACCUUCCCCUACCCCGGGGUGGCUGUCCGUGCUGCGUGUGGCUGUAUAUGGUGUCCCACGGCUACCUACGCCAGACACCCCUGGAGCGCUGGCCUUGU
rnacentral:rRNA from 1 species